UUCAACCAGAUCCACAUUAUGCUGAGGUUGGUUCAAAGAAUUCAGGCAAUUAUAGAAAUACCAUUUUAUCGUCAGUUGUAAUUUACUUAAUUUUUAUAGAAUAGAAUAUUGUCGGGAAUACCGCAAGGCUCUACAUUUCACAUUUUUGUUUUUAUUAAUAGCCUUUCUACUAAAAGUAAUCAUUUAUAAUUUCAGUGUGAGCAGUGCUUUAUAUAACCUUGCAGCUCACAGGCCAAUGGGUGAAUGACCUCAGGUCUGGAAAAGGCUGAGAACCCAUUUUAGAGCAAUCUCAUCAUCACACAGCUGUUGAAACUGUCGGCUUGGCUGUUCGUGGUUAACGGACAGUGGCAUUCGCUUCCACUCUCCAGUCCUGUAUAGAAGUGAUUCUGGCACUGUGCAUUGUGCCUUCUCCAUUCAGGCCUAUCAAUACACAGGACAAAAAUAUUUUGACAGACGGCGUAAAGCACGGGUGAUCCACGUGGCAGGCUGAGAUAACUCAGAAACAGACAAGCAUCCAUGAAGGUAAUUGGUGAAACAUAUCAGAUCCAGUACAAACUUGUACUCCGUCAUUGUUAUACAAUCCCAAUAUACGAAUUUCCCAUUUAAAUAUCACAGACCGUGCUACUACUCAAUAAAACUCGAGUACAUUAACCAGUAUCCCAGAUCUAACAGGCUUUGAAGAUUAAUGUAUUAAACCAGUUCAUUAUAUAGUUAAUACUGAUAUUAA